rnacentral:rRNA from 1 species
GAUGAACGCUAGCGGCAGGCCUAAUACAUGCAAGCCGAACGGUAAGUUGAGUAGCAAUACUUGACCUAGAGUGGCGUACGGGUGCGUAACACGUAUGUAACCUACCCUUUACAGGAGUAUAGCUCGGGGAAACUCGGAUUAAUCCUCCAUAAGAUGACAGAUCGGCAUCGAUCAGUCAUAAAAAUUUCGGUGGUAAAGGAUGGACAUGCGCAUGAUUAGCUAGUUGGAGGUGUAACGGACCCCCAAGGCGAUGAUCAUUAGGGGAACUGAGAGGUUGAUCCCCCACACUGGCACUGAGAUACGGGCCAGACUCCUACGGGAGGCAGCAGUAGGGAAUAUUGGUCAAUGGGUGAGAGCCUGAA